ensembl:lncRNA
ACUGCGAAGUUCACAAGGGCUGCCCAGGACGUCACCCGCGAGUUCAGAGCCCCGCCCCAGACACGGGCCCCGUCCCCGGGGUGCAAAGUCAGCUACCUUCUGCUCCUCGCGCCCGGGGUGCGAGCACCAAGGAGGGCCUGAACCCCAAAACUGCUGGUCCCUAGAGACCAACCUUAGCGUCCUGGCUCUGCCACACCCGCGGUGGGCCUCAACUCCGAGUUCUGAAGCUCCUUACUCCCGUCACCCCAAGACCCACCAGCCUCGUUUUCCCCCACUUCCGCCGACUUCCACCACUGACCCGUAGCCUGUGUUACCCGAAGACCACUCCCCGGGUCCCCUGUUUACAUUCCGCUUGCCCUUUACCCACCGGAAACGGAAAUUAUCGUGCCCCACCUCCUUCCCGCUUGCCGUAGGUGCCGGGUCUUCCAAGAUAGUGGGGUGGUCGACCUAGGGUGUCCGAACCUUUCGGAGCAGCGAGCUGGGAAGAGGCGACUCAGUGCCUUUCAUCCGCAAUCCUUUCCCUGGGACUACAAGUCCCAGAAGUCACUGCGGCCGCCCCCACCCCAUUAUUACCCUCCGAAGCUGGUAGUCCGGGCCGCUCGGACCGGGCACGCCCUCUAGCGGCAGACGAGAGCAUCGGAGCGCUGGUGCCCACAGCUCGGGAGCGAGGGAAACUGCGUCUGCGCAGGCUGAGUGCGCGUGGAGAGGACUUCGCUGGUGGUAUCGCGAGGCCAAUCCAGUCAGCAGGUUAUUUUAAAGAUUCAGAAUGUCAACAAUCUAACACAAGCCAACAAUGCCAUAUGGGAUAUAAGAUUUUUUACUGAUUGAAUUCUAACAGUAGUGGGAUUCUAACCAAAUCCAAUGUUAGCAGCCAAAGGUAACUGCUCUUCCAUUAUAUACAACUUAAUAUUUUGUUCAGGUGUUUAAUUUUUAGAUGAAACAAAAAUCAUAACAUUCAAGUGCCAAAAUCUGCUCAAGCACUAUACUUUAUAUUUAGGCACACUGUUUAAAAGGUACACAGAUGGUUGGCCAUAACAAGUAACUUUUUUUUUCCACAUAGUUUUCUCAGAAGUUCACCACAUUGUAAACCAAUGAAAAAUCAUAUUUUUUAUUAUCCAUUUUCUAAGUCAAAGUAUUUGAAAUUGUAUCCUUAAGUAUACCCCAGUCAAGAUAAACGUGAACAAGCCUCAAAAAUCUUGUACCACAAAGAUUAAUUUCUACCGUACUACCAAUUUAUAGUUAUGUUGUAUGUAGGCUUUGAUUCAUCUAGUGAAGAAAACUCACAAUGAAAAUAGGAUUUCUGUUAUGGAUGGGGGGACUCGGAAGGAGUUAAGGGGAAAAGAUGUAAAGCACAUUCCAAAGGUGCAUGGAGUUCUCCAUCCACCCAUAGUCCACCAAUCAUUCAGUGUGAAUGGUAUCACUGAAAGGCCAAAAGGGAGGUGGGGGUAGGUGGCCGGGUGAGAGGUCAGGAUUUUCUGUAUAAAAUGAUUUAAAACUCUGAAAAACUACAAAGCCAUCCAAAGAAAAAAUAUAAUCGAAGUAAAAGCAAUGGAGUUUAUUUCAGUGAAAUUACCUUAAAUUAGAUAUAUUAAGCUCCCCAGUCCCCCAACCUGGUAGAAAAGUUCCUCUCAGUGAGAAAUCAUUUAUUUUAAUGGCAAAAAUUUUACAUAUCAGUAAAAUCUGUUAUUUAAAACUGUGUACAGUACAUUUCUGGCAAAUGCCUUAUACAUCUUUCAGCUGUCAAGACAAAGUAAAAAUGUGGUUGCAUAAAAUCACAAAAAAUAUAAAUUGCUGAAAAGAUAAUAAAAAAAGAUUAAAAAUCAUUUGCAUUGACUCCCUUACAUCUUCAAUUAGUAAGAAUUUGCAAACAACAGUAAAUUUGUGGAAACUGUGAUGAAACCUUGACAUUCUCAACUAAAAGUUGUCAUUUCAAAUAUCCCAGCUUAAAAAGAACCUACUUCCAAUAGUCUGUGUAUUUAUCAUAUUAUUUGAACAAGUGCAAUAUUUAAGUAUCAAAAUAAAACUCAGUAACUUAAAGGAAUCACAAUAACUUAAAAGAAGCCGUUUACAAAAUUAACAAUUUUAGAAGGUCCUAUUUAAUUGGUUCCUCUUUUGUUCCCCAGUCCCCAACCUGGUAGAAAAGUUCCUCUCAGUGAGAAAUCAUUUAUUUUAAUGGCAAAAAUUUUACAUAUCAGUAAAAUCUGUUAUUUAAAACUGUGUACAGUACAUUUCUGGCAAAUGCCUUAUACAUCUUUCAGCUGUCAAGACAAAGUAAAAAUGUGGUUGCAUAAAAUCACAAAAAAUAUAAAUUGCUGAAAAGAUAAUAAAAAAAGAUUAAAAAUCAUUUGCAUUGACUCCCUUACAUCUUCAAUUAGUAAGAAUUUGCAAACAACAGUAAAUUUGUGGAAACUGUGAUGAAACCUUGACAUUCUCAACUAAAAGUUGUCAUUUCAAAUAUCCCAGCUUAAAAAGAACCUACUUCCAAUAGUCUGUGUAUUUAUCAUAUUAUUUGAACAAGUGCAAUAUUUAAGUAUCCAAAAUAAAACUCAGUAACUUAAAGGAAUCACAAUAACUUAAAAAGAAGCCGUUUACAAAAUUAACAAUUUUUAGAAGGUCCUAUUUAAUUGGUUCCUCUUUUUGUUCCCCACUCCCCACAACAGGUCAGAGACAUUACGUCUUAGCUCUAUAUACAAAUCUGUAGCUUUAAAAAUACAGUCUUCUGUUCUUAACAUUAGGAACAUAAUGCUGCACUUAAGAGAGCCUACAUGAAGACAGUAUCUCCAAAACAGAGGGCCACAUACAAGUUAUAAAUACAGUUUGAACUUAUAUUUAAAUGGAACUCCUAUCAUUUUAUACAGCUUUCUGAUUCUAAGUUGAAUAGAAUAAGCCCUGGACAGAAGGAAGCAAGGUUUUCUCCUGAAUUCAGUGCAUGUUUCUAGGGAUGCUGGAGCUACAUCUACAACUAUACAAGCGAUCAUGACAUUUGAGAGCAUUAUUAUCAAGUUACAUCGGUGCCAAAAACAACACUACAAUACCAAGAGUCUUAAAAAGGGGGUGGGGAUGGGGGAAGAGUUCUGGUGCAAUGGAGAGAGAAUACCAAAAAACUUUCAAGUUAAAAUAUAAGGCAAUUAUGAACGACAGUAUUUUUUUAUUAGCAUACACAUGACACAAAUUUUAUCUGAGGUGGCUAAAUUUUUUCUUACACCUAGUAUGUAAUGCAUUACACUAAGAGCAAGAAAAAGAAAUUAUAAAUCUGAGGAUUAAGCAACUUUGGGAAGUUCCCAUAAUGCUACUUUAAGUAAUGAAAAUCCAAAGCAAAUGUGACUAGUUAGAACUGAUUUGUUCCAUAUUUUAUCAAAAUAAUAAGGUAAUAGCUAAGAGACAACCAAAUGCAAUGUGUAAACUUUAGUUGGAGCCUGGUUUGAAAUAAAUUUGUAUGACAAUGAGGGAAAUCUAAAUAUGCAUGAUUAGAUGGUAUUAGAGAAUAGUAUUAUGGUUUUUUAGGAGAAUGUCAUUAUUUUUUAGGAGAUGCUUUAAGUUUUGAGGAGUGAUGAGUCUAUCUGCAAUGUCAAAAUUGUUCAGGGGAAAAAAGCAUAUAUACACACAUACAUAUACACAUAUAUAUAUAACUGUAUCUACAUACAGAUAUAUAGAUAAAUAUGGCAAAAUGUUAACAAGUAUUGAAUCUAAGUGGUAGAUAACACAUGUGAUCAUCUUACAGCCUUUCAAUUUUUCUUCUAAAAAAUGGCCAUAAUGAAAUUUAGGAGAAAAAAUCCUGUUUAAGCAGUUAACAGUUUGUAAGACAUGUCCUAUGCACUGAAUCAAUUUAAAAGGUACAUGAUUGAAUGACCAGACAUUCCUGCAUACAUUUAAUACUGACUGACAUGAUUAGGAGAGAGGACUCUGUCAAAUGUCAAACUAACCAAUGAUUUAUUUACAGUAUAUGCAAUGCAGCUCUUGUGACAAAAAGAGCAAUUUAUAUACAGAAUAUAGUGGGGCAAAUUGUAGAAUUAAAAUUAAUGCCUGGAGUGUCUGAAUAUAUAAGUUCUGUAUGUUUUUGCACUUACCAAACUAAAAGAAAAAAAUUUAACUGUGUCAGGUAUCUUUAAUGUGACUUACCAUAUACUAUAGAAUAUUAAGGAGAGGAUAUGGAAGAAUCAUCCAGGCUGUCCCUAAUGUUGAAAAUACUUGCUAAAUUACGGAGCCCAGAAAACAAAAUCACCUCUAAAAGUCUCUGGGGAUUCUAGUCAAAUAUUUAUUUCUUUAUUCCCUUUUUGGCCGCACCACGUGGCAUGAGGGAUCUGAGUUCCCCCACCAGGGAUCGAACCUGCACCUCCCUACGUUGGAAGCACAGAGUCUUAACCACUGGACUGCCAGGGAAGUCUCUAGGCAAAUAUUUAUUGAAUAAAUCUUUGAAGCAAAUAUAUAACACAUCAACAUGUAAUUAACAUAUGAAGGCCUUUAUGGUAAAUUAAUAUUCUACAAAGCCCUGUAUACACUAAAUAUAAAAUAGCCAAAAAAUCAAGUGAGCCUGAGAGACCUAUAAUUCAUUGCGCAUAGUAUAUUAUUCUAUAUGCCUACUGAACAAUGAACAAAAUUGUCUUAAUUCAUUUUUGCACAUUAUGCUUUUAACUAUUAAUCAUGUUUCAACCUCUGUGCAAACUGCAUUCCAAAAGGCCAACCCUCAGUUAUAAUUACGUAUAACUUGAUUAUACAUGGAAGCAUUUGGCUAUGAUUUAUUAUGCAUGCUUAUUGCUAUCAAAG